rnacentral:rRNA from 1 species
AUUGAACGCUGGCGGCAUGCCUUACACAUGCAAGUCGAACGGCAGCACGGGUGCUUGCACUUGGUGGCGAGUGGCGAACGGGUGAGUAAUACAUCGGAACGUACCUUAUCGUGGGGGAUAACGCAGCGAAAGCUGUGCUAAUACCGCAUACGCCCUGAGGGGGAAAGCGGGGGAUCGAAAGACCUCGCGCGAUUAGAGCGGCCGAUGCCUGAUUAGCUUGUUGGUGGGGUAAAAGCCCACCAAGGCGACGAGCAGUAGCUGGUCUGAGAGGACGAUCAGCCACACUGGGACUGAGACACGGCCCAGACUCCUACGGGAGGCAGCAGUGGGGAAUUUUGGACAAUGGGGGCAACCCUGAUCCAGCAAUGCCGCGUGAGUGAAGAAGGCCUUCGGGUUGUAAAGCUCUUUUGUCAGGGAAGAAACACCGGCUCUAACACAGUCCGGGAAUGACGGUACCUGAAGAACAAGCACCGGCUAACUACGUGCCAGCAGCCGCCGUAA